rnacentral:rRNA from 1 species
UACGAAGGGGGCUAGCGUUGUUCGGAAUCACUGGGCGUAAAGGGCGCGUAGGCGGCCGAUCAAGUCGGGGGUGAAAGCCUGUGGCUCAACCACAGAAUUGCCUUCGAUACUGUUUGGCUUGAGACCGGAAGAGGUAAGUGGAACUGCGAGUGUAGAGGUGAAAUUCGUAGGUAUUCGCAAGAACACCAGUGGCGAAGGCGGCUUACUGGUCCGGUUCUGACGCUGAGGCGCGAAAGCGUGGGGAGCAAACAGG